rnacentral:lncRNA from 1 species
AGAACAGAAAAACAUGUGCAGAAAGGCUGAAAACCAGCUUACAGAGCUAGGCAGGGCUCGGGGUGGCCGGCGGCGGCCGGACAGCGGGCAGGCCGGCCAGGGGAAGGUGCCCCAGGUCAGAGGAGGCCGGGGCUCCCGUCAACAGGCGACGGGAGGCGGCGACGACGGCGGGCCUUGAUGCCCUAGCUUCCCAAACCCGUGGAGAGCAAGGGCCCAGUCCGGCCAGUAGAGGGUUCCGGCGGCGGGAGCGCCGGUGGUGGGCGAGUGCGGCCCACCCAGGAGAGGGGGUGCUCAC